rnacentral:rRNA from 1 species
CCAGACUCCUACGGGAGGCAGCAGUGGGGAAUAUUGCACAAUGGGGGAAACCCUGAUGCAGCGACGCCGCGUGAGUGAAGAAGUAUUUCGGUAUGUAAAGCUCUAUCAGCAGGGAAGAAAAUGACGGUACCUGACUAAGAAGCCCCGGCUAACUACGUGCCAGCAGCCGCGGUAAUACGUAGGGGGCAAGCGUUAUCCGGAUUUACUGGGUGUAAAGGGAGCGUAGACGGCAUGGCAAGUCAGAUGUGAAAGCCCGGGGCUCAACCCCGGGACUGCAUUUGAAACUGUCAGGCUGGAGUGCAGGAGAGGUAGGUGGAAUUCCUAGUGUAGCGGUGAAAUGCGUAGAUAUUAGGAGGAACACCGGCGGCGAAGGCGGCCUGCUGGACCGUAACUGACGUUGAGGCUCGAAAGCGUGGGGAGCAAACAGGAUUAGAUACCCUCGUAU